UACGGAGGGGGCGAGCGUUGUCCGAAGUUACUGGGCGUAAAGGGCGCGUAGGCGGGAGGCCAAGUCCGCUGUGAAAGCCUGAGGCUCAACCUCAGCGGGUCGGUGGAGACUGGUCUUCUUGAAGGUGUCAGGGGGAGAUGGAAUUAUCGGUGUAGCGGUGAAAUGCGUAGAUAUCGAUAGGAACACCAGUGGCGAAGGCGGUCUCCUGGGGCAUUCUUGACGCUGAGGCGCGAAAGCUGGGGGAGCGAACGGGAUUAGAUACCCCGGUAGUCCCAGCCCUAAACGAUGGAUACUAGGUGUGGGGGGUAUCGACCCCUCCCGUGCCGUCGCUAACGCAGUAAGUAUCCCGCCUGGGGAGUACGGCCGCAAGGUUGAA
rnacentral:rRNA from 1 species